GGAAUAUUUGCAUAUGUAUAUCCUUCGUUUUCACAGCACAGCCUGGCUGCCAGAUGGGAAAACCGACGGAGCCUCCAACAUUUAUCCGCGACUCCGCCGCUUUCCUGUGCCGGGAACCGCGGCGGAAGAGAGGAUUUUUCCGGGAUUGUGGAGCCAUCCAGGAUCUGUAAAUGCAGGAGCACCAGGAAUUCACCUGCCAAAUUCUGCUGGAAGCUGGAGUUUUGGAGGCAGGAAGGGCCUGGCAGAGGAGCUCAUCCACCACUUUUGGGAACUUUUGGAGGCUUUGGAAAUCCUUUUAGUGCUGAGGG